GACGAACGCUGGCGGCGUGCUUAACACAUGCAAGUCGAGCGGUAAGGCCCUUUCGGGGGUACACGAGCGGCGAACGGGUGAGUAACACGUGGGUGACCUGCCCUCAGCUCUGGGAUAAGCCUGGGAAACUGGGUCUAAUACUGGAUAUGACUCCACGGUGCAUGUCGUGGGGUGGAAAGCCUUGUGCGGCUGAGGAUGGGCCCGCGGCCUAUCAGCUUGUUGGUGGGGUGAUGGCCUACCAAGGCGACGACGGGUAGCCGGCCUGAGAGGGCGACCGGCCACACUGGGACUGAGACACGGCCCAGACUCCUACGGGAGGCAGCAGUGGGGAAUCUUGCGCAAUGGGCGAAAGCCUGACGCAGCGACGCCGCGUGAGGGAUGACGGCCCUCGGGUUGUAAACCUCUUUCAGCUCCGACGAAGCGGAAGUGACGGUAGGAGCAGAAGAAGC
rnacentral:rRNA from 1 species